rnacentral:rRNA from 1 species
UACGAAGGGGGCUAGCGUUGCUCGGAAUCACUGGGCGUAAAGCGCACGUAGGCGGACUAUUAAGUCAGGGGUGAAAUCCCGGGGCUCAACCCCGGAACUGCCUUUGAUACUGGUAGUCUCGAGUCCGGAAGAGGUGAGUGGAAUUCCGAGUGUAGAGGUGAAAUUCGUAGAUAUUCGGAGGAACACCAGUGGCGAAGGCGGCUCACUGGUCCGGUACUGACGCUGAGGUGCGAAAGCGUGGGGAGCAAACAGG